ncrna:unclassified sequences eL15-Euryarchaeota ribosomal protein leader
UGGGGAUAAGUUCCCAUAUGGAUGUGGCCCUAGUGGCUGAACAAAAAG